rnacentral:lncRNA from 1 species
AUAUGUCUGAACAUAUUGAAAAGCUAGACUAACUAGUUAGUUGAACACUUGCAUGUAAAACUCGUAAAAAUAAUUAACUUACAGCUGUAUAUAAAACUUUGUAAAUGAAAACAGGUAUGUUAAAUUCGUAAUUGUGAACUACAUUUGUUAUAAAUAACGAAUUUUUCAUAUACUAUAUUAAGUAAAAAAAUGUGUACAUUUAUUUGAGAAAUUUAAUCACCCCAGAGAUUUGAAAUAAAAUAUUAAGCCAUAAAAAAUCUGUAAACAGUAGAAACUCGUUGGGUAAUAUCAAGACCUUGAAAGGAAAGAAUCAUCACAUUCCAUCAGUUAGACGAAUGUGCUAGAAAACUUGUAUUGCAUUGAUCUUGAAGUAACAUCAGGACUUGCAUCACAUGAGCUCGAUUUAUCAUCUAGCGAACGUAUUAAUCCCGUUCUCUUGCAAUCGUGCAAAAUCGGCAAAAGAUUGCUUGCUAAAAUAUAUAAAGCACGGAAAGCAACAAUACAUACUUUUACACUUCUUCAAAAUUAAUUUAAAACAAGGCUCGGAAGUCGGAAGACCUUAAUAUAUUAUUAAAUAUAUUCACAAUAUCAAUAAUCGGCCAUUACUUUGCUCUCUCUUUUUCUCUCUCUCAAUUAGAAAAACACAGGCCUAUUUUAUUUAUAUUAUUAUUGCGGCUAAUGAAUAUACCAACUCAAGCUUAUUUAAUUUAUUUUUACUCAUUUUUGUUUUGCAAGUGCAGCUUUCCCCUCGCUAUAAAAGCAACAACUCAGCAAAAACACAAUGUUUUUAUUCGCAGAAAAUAUAAAAUAUUAAGAGCGCACCUAGGUAAACAACAUGUGCCAGUGACGCAAAAAGCUUCGCUCAAAAAACCGCGCCUAACUGAUAUUAACUCGACUUGCAGCCAAGACCUGACUUCAAUGCAAUCACAAGCGACAUCUCUCAUUGAAUAUUAACGCGCGUUCGUUGCAAUAUCUUGCAUUUUUUAUUUGCAAAGCUCUUCAUAGCCACACAGAAAAGCUCCAAAUGGAUAACUUUGAAAAUAUUUUAGGUAUUUAUACUUAAACUCUUAUAGCCGGUGCAAUAUGUUGCAAGAGUGGAAAAAUUGCAUAUUGUUCAUUGAUCUGGAGAUUUUUUCUAUUUUAAUAUUAAAUAUAUUUAAUAACUUAAAAAUCUCAUAACUUGAAGCUCCGCUAUGGAUUCAUUCUUUAAGCUAAACUUUGGUUUAGAAACAAACCAAAAAGGAAAAGGAGUACUAACACUAAUCGCCAAUCUAAAAAUUCAUAAACAAUUUUAUUCGGACUGGAAUUUUUUUGAACUCAAAUGCGCGUCUUUGUAUGCUGAAUAAGAAAAUCUCCUUUGAAAAUCGUUGAUCUAAAUUAUAUGCCCAUAUGGAGCUAUCUAUUCAGAGAAGUAUAUCGAAACGAUCAAGUUGUUUCAAAAAAAAGUUUGUAGGUUGUUAUAUCUGUAUAAAGCUAAUUCAUAAAUAGUUUGAAGAAUGACGAACUGGUAAUCUUAAUAUAUCAAUCUGAGUUAGUCUCCACCACAUAAAGUACAUCUGCUGCCAUGUGGUUGGGUAGUUUACCUAUAUAGUAUAGUAAAGUAAGAAAGAGAGAUAUUACUUGAAAACACCCUAAAGUAAAACUUCAUCUUUAAAGUAUCUCACGGUUUUUACAGUUAAAAAUUGAGUUUUGUUAACCGACCCUUAUCUCUCAUUUAUAGUGUGGGUUUUUCUAUUAUGGUUAAGAAUUCUUCCGAACAGUUGUUGGGUUUUUAUGAGCAAUUUAUCAUGGCAACAAUUCACGCGGAAGUUUGACAUUGUCUGUCAAAAGACAACAGCUGUAAAAUAAAUCCGUUUGAAUGAUUUUCGAAAAUUGGAAUCGAGGCACUAAAACAAUGUAGACGGUUAAAAAUGAAUAAGAGCAAAGUUGAAGAAAGCAGUUCCUUAGAAUGAAUAAUUUAAACGAAAGUGAGAACUUUUCAAAUUAUUUACAUAUACAUAUAUCACAGUUAAUACUGAAACUCUUCGUGGCGAACACAGAACAAAAGAUUCGCGAAGAAUACUGCUACUAAAAAAGAAGCAGGUGGAAAAGCCUGUAUACAAUUUGCGAAAUAGCUUGUAUGGUCCAUGGACAAAUGGCAAAAUAUGUAUAUUGGUCUCAGAUGAAUGUAAAAUUUAAUUAUUUGGUAGUUAAAGGUAUGGAAACUUUGUUCGACGUCCCCCUAAUGGAUUGUAAUACCUAAUUUUCAACAAAAAACAUGGCGGCGCUUAAUUCAUGAUAACGGAAGUAGCAAUAUAACUCUCGGUCCGUUACCAAUGAAGUUGGUUCUACAAACCCCAAACAGACGUUCAUUUUUGCCCAGCCAAUGGCUAUCAGCUGGACAAUUCGUCAAAGUAAUUGGGGAAAUGUUUUCCGCAGCUACAACUUCUACAAAAAUAUAUUUCACAUGACCACCGGGUCUUCACGAGCAACUUAUAUCCGACAGAAAACUUUCAACUAAGCAGCGUUCCCUAAAACUACUUAUAGUAUUUGCGUAAUAGUUUAUACUGUUAAAUCAACAACUAAAUGAAAUUUGAGUGAAUCACAACUAUUAUGCUAGAUAUAUAUAAAGGAAUGAUAACAAAUAUACAAAAUAAAAUAAAGAUCUCUCAUGUACCAGCAGCUUAAUGCUGCAUUGCGUAAAAGAUACUUACGUUUCAACAAAAAAUUCAGAACUUUUUAAAACAAUAUGUAUUAUACUUAUGUAUAUUUAAUAUUUUGAUGUAGUGAUUUUGGGUAAUGCACUGCAAAGUAAUUUAGUUAGACAAACAAAUGAAGAAAUGCAAACAACAUUUACAUACAAGCAGGCAAAUUUGUAUAUAGUUUAGGUGAGAGGGUUUGUAUAUAUGUAUGUAUGAAUGGACUUGUAAAUGAACAUGCAGGGCGGAAAUGCUGUGUGAUUUCAAAUAUUCUUAAGGAACUGUAAAUUAUCUAUGUAGUUUAUUGUUGUUUAGUAAUUUAACUGCUAAGCUGUAAAAGUAAAGAAAAUAAAUGCGCAUAUAUAUGAAUGUAUAUGUAAAUAGUAUAGUAUACAUAAAUAAGUACGUAAUUACAGGUGUGCGCACCUUGGCAUAAAGUAGAAUUCAGCAAAUAUUAGGUGAAUAAAACACAGGCUACAACAACGGCAAAAGUAAGCAAAAACUGCUUUGAUUAUUUAUUAAUAAUAGUCGAAAAAUAUUUGUGUAUGCGUUAAUGUAAAUAUACAGUGGGUCAAGGCUAGCAAUUAGGUGCUAACGAAAUUGAUUAAGAGUGCGAGAUUAUUAUUUUUUUAUAUUUAUUAUUUCUUUUUUGUUUUGCUAAAUGUAACUACAAUUAUAAAUAAAAGGUGCUUAUUAACUACAGAGAGGCAUUUUACUUACAAAAA